UCCUUUUAUUUUUAUUUUUCUGCAUGUUAGACUUGUUUGCCAGCCUCUAGUAACAAAUCGUUGGUGUUCAUCAAAUCAAUGUAUUUACGAUCACGUGUAUGUGUAGCUUCUUAAUUGGUAAUUUGUUCUCCUUUUGAAAGUUGCAUUAUUUCAAAGAUUGCAUAUUUGCAUUCUGUUUCAUAUAGUGUUGAUGUUGGAUGAUUGGUGCUUUUCUUGUAUAGAACAGUUUUCCUGUAGUUCUGAUGUGUAUUUGUAAGCAUUCAUUUGCAUGUUGGAUGGGGAGAACAUUGGCUUGUCGGACAUUGAGGGGUUCUCAGAAGUUGAUAAUUAUUUGCCAGCUUGAGUAGCCUCUCCCAUAUUCAUAAAUAUAGGGAUUUUAGCAAAUGAGAGAACUUUUACCAUGUCGACUUUGAAUAAGCUAGCUAGUGAUAUCUUGAGUGAGAAACUGCGAGGCCAGUGAAGUGAUAUCUUUGGUUUUUUCUUAAUUUCUUUUAGGAGCUUUGUCAGGUUCCU
rnacentral:misc_RNA from 1 species